rnacentral:rRNA from 1 species
AUUGAACGCUGGCGGCAGGCCUAACACAUGCAAGUCGAGCGGAGCGGCGGACGGGGGAGUAAUGCCAAGGAAUCUGCCAGGGAGUGGGGGAUAACGUCCGGAAACGGACGCGAAUACCGCAUACUAUUAGAUUAGCCUAGGUCGGAUUGGCUAGCUGGUGGGGUAAAGGCCUACCAAGGCGUCGAUCCGGAACUGGUCUGAGAGGAUGAUCAGUCACACUUGAACUGAGACACGGUCCAGACUCCUACGGGAGGCAGCAGUGGGGAAUAUUGGACAAUGGGCGAAAGCCUGAUCCAGCCAUGCCGCGUGUGUGAAGAAGGUCUUCGGAUUGUAAAGCACUUUAAGUUGGGAGGCGUUACCAACAGAGUAAGCACCGGCUAACUUCCUGCCAGCAGCCGCGGUAAUAC